rnacentral:rRNA from 1 species
UACGAAGGGGGCUAGCGUUGCUCGGAAUCACUGGGCGUAAAGCGCACGUAGGCGGAUCUUUAAGUCAGGGGUGAAAUCCUGGAGCUCAACUCCAAAACUGCCUUUGAUACUGGGGAUCUCGAGUCCGGGAGAGGUGAGUGGAACUGCGAGUGUAGAGGUGAAAUUCGUAGAUAUUCGCAAGAACACCAGUGGCGAAGGCGGCUCACUGGCCCGGUACUGACGCUGAGGUGCGAAAGCGUGGGGAGCAAACAGG